rnacentral:lncRNA from 1 species
UUCUAUAGUAUGAGAAAUCCAGGUUGAGAAUGAAACGACUGAACAAAUGAACAAGGAAACAGCACAAGCCUGAGUCUCUCCCUUGCAUGCAGCUGGAGCUGAGAGAAGGGGAGCGAGCGAGAGAAGAGAGGAGAGGAGGAGAGAGGAGAGGAGGAGAGAGAAGAGGAGCGAGGAUAGAGGAGAGGAGAUAGCAAGCGCAGAGUGAAGGAGAGAAAAGCUCAAGUGAUGAUGAAAUAGGAGGUGCGGCGGAGCGCGAGAGCCAGACACUUCUUGAUCACACGUCCAACACGGCAAGGAACUGUAUUUGCACUUGAGAGGGAGGGAGAGAGAAUGAAGGAAGGGAGAUGGAGGCCGAGAGGGAAAGAGAGAGAGAGAGAAAGAGAGAGCGAGAGGGGAGAGAGAGUGGGAGGGCGAAAAGCAGGCAAGGGUGGGAGGGGGUAGAGGAGGAAGAAUGACACAGAAAUCCACUCCUCCAGCAGUGCGCAGACGCAGUGUACACACUCACGCCAUACUAGCACACGCUACACCCCGACAAUCAACUACACACAAGAGCAGAAAUAAGAGAGAAAAGAGAGAGAAAAUGAGAGAGAGAUAAAAGAGAAAGAGAGAAAAGAGAGAAGAGGGAGAAAAGAGAGAGAAAAGAGAGAGAAAAGAGAGGGAGAAAAGAGAAAGAGAGAGAAAAGAGAGGGAGAAAACAGAAAGAGAGAGAAAAGAGGCAGAAAAGAGAGAGAAAAGAGAUCAACAGACAAACACUCAGAGUGGAUAAGGAACUUGAAAUAUGCAACACUUCUGAGAGCAGGUUAAAUGAUUAACCUUAUCUGGUACAGUACAGUACAGUACUGUAGCGCUCUCUCUCUGUCGUCAAGCUGCAACAGCCUGUCUGGAUCACAUUCUGCAGCCAGCCACGACUCACAGACAGAGUAUUAACUCUUUAGCAUGCCACAGCAGCUAGCGUGGAAGCAGCAUGGAGAAGACAAAAAACAUAAGCUACUUGCGUAUAAUACUGUAGUGUAGCACGUGGCAGGGUAGGAGCUGGGUUUGUAGAGUUACAGUACAGCAAGACCCUCCUCCUCCUGUCCUCACUCGAUCACUCCGAGGGGCUAAACAUUGCACGACCCUUACAGCUAUUUUGGCAAGGAGUCAAAAGCCUGAUAACCAUUCUGUAUGAGACCUCACUGCUUUUCUGGAAGAAAAACAGCUGCCGUGAUUACAAUGUGAUUGUGAAUUCACAGAAAACACGAGUGGUUCUGAUUUGUCCUGGGUAAAAAGGCAGAGGAUAGCUUAUCCAAAUAACCCAGAAACUAUAGCUGUACUGACUAAAAACGUAUCAUAUUUAAAACCAAUAGGAAAAGAUUUUUGAGUGUAUUUGGGUCUAAAGUAUCCCUUACCCUGGAAUCGUCUAGAGUCCUGCAUCGUGACGCGCUCCACCCUCCCUAAACCCUGCUGUUUGAGCGAGCGUGCACACGCACAUGUGCACGCGCACACGCACACACAAUUAUGUACUACAGGACUACAAAACAACAUGGCAGACCAGUCCUCCAUCUUAGUUCAUACUGAUUAUUCUUUUGAUUCACGUGUCUGCCUAUCUCAGUUUUUUAUGCUCCUUCUCUCCCUUCCUCUCGCCCUGCUUCUCUCUCUCUGUCCCGCCACCUUUUCCACUCUGCGACCAGCAUUUGGCUUUUUCCAUUUGUGGCAGAUUACUGUAAGGCUAUUGUAAAACAACUUCCUGCCUCUUUUGGCUCUGGUUCCAAAAACGGCAAAGGCUGGGCUCACGUGUCUCCCCCCCUCUCUCCCCGAAGUAUCAGGAGGUCUAAAAAGAGAGAAAGCCAGAAAAAGGAAAAGUGUAAAAUCUCUGCAUGUCUCCUCUUGAGGACUUAUUUUGAUGCCUUGUGUCUUUAAUGCCACAUGAGAAGUAAAGGAGGAGAGCAGGGGACUGCAUGCCUAGCAGAACGGAAAGAACAGCACAGCAACACCCGACCGACCGGAGGCUCCUCCGCUCACUCACUCCGAGGACUCUCUCCUCUCCUCCUCUUCAUGACAAGGUUCAAUAAGACACAGGUGGCCACAUUCAAUGGACCUGCAGAGGGAAAAAACAUUGUUUGUGUUUACUUACUGAAGACAUGGUGCAACCAAGUUCGGGCGUUAUUAACAGUCUCUCAUCUUCUUUUUAAAAAAUGACACAAAAUGGGUUGGAUGUGUCUGCUUUGGAAUGAGCUAGAACCCUAGAACCCAAUCCAAAGCACUGCAGCCUCACGUCACAUCUCGCCAUGCGUUUUAACCAAUUGAAAAACUCACGUCUUUGCGUUGAAACAUAUAGGUUUAAACAUACAGUUUGUGGAUAUUGUAGAUACAUAUUAGGAAUAUGUAUUUUUGUAUGUACAAUCCUGCUCAGUUUCAGUAGAGGACAGACAGUGGGGGAAAUUUGUUUUAGUCGUUGGUUUGGAACGGUCUGUAGUAAUAAUUUAGCUUAGUGUGCAUGUAGCACAGAAUUUAAUCAUUUAGCUUAGUGUGCAUGUAGCACAGCAUUUGCAAGAAGUUCACUUGAGGAUAAGGUUUUGGUUUUGGGAGGAUGCCAACUUUUACGACUGUGUGCCUCUACCUCGCUCCCCUCUUCUCUACUCUGGUUGCAUUUGUCUGUAUUGAAUUAUAUUUUAAAAUGUAUUUAUAUAUGUAAUUAUAUAUGUCAUUAUUAUAUUUUAAGUUGUGUUUUAGAAUUGUAAAUUACUUUAACCAUGCUUUCUUUAAACACUUUUCAAAUAAUAAAUUAAGCAAUUUUAAGAUGACCGGUUUAAUAUUUUUUUGACUUAGAUAUUUUUUUAGGAAUGCUUUCUUACACAGGUGUGUAUAAGAACUUUGGCAAACAAUACCAUUAAAAAACAAUGUCCUAGUACAACAUAAAAAAAACCUUGGAGGGAGGACAGAGAGGUAAAUGUAACUAUCCUUCUGUAGUAUAUUUGAAGGGACUUCUUAACCCUAUUGUUAAUAAUUACGAUAUGCUAUGGAAUGCUAUGUAUCUCAAUCAGCAUUAACUCUUAGAAUCUUUAGAUAAUAUCACAAUAGAUUAAAUGGUUAAUAAAGUUUAAAGUAAAUAUCCAACCUGUUAGUCAAAGCUAUGUUCCUGGUUUUGAAAUGCUACAAAUCCACAUAACUCACUACAGUGGAUGGUGAAGGAGAGAAUGAUCAGAGUAGGAAGUUAACUAACACGUCAGUAAAUGUGGCUUAGCUAUCGACACGUGAAUACCAAUUCAGUCAUUCAGUCCUAUUCAAGGACAUUUUUUAUAAAAUGGCGGACGCUGCAUUGUCAUUUACUGGCUUCAUUCAGAAUUUUUAAGUAUUGUGAUACAUUCAAAACUUAACCUUGCUUAAUAAAAUGUAUUCCCGUACUACA